CCUACGGGAGGCAGCAGUGGGGAAUAUUGGACAAUGGGCGAAAGCCUGAUCCAGCCAUGCCGCGUGUGUGAAGAAGGCCUUCGGGUUGUAAAGCACUUUCAGUGGGGAAGAAAGCCUUGGGGCUAAUACCCUCGAGGAUGGACAUCACCCACAGAAUAAGCACCGGCUAACUCCGUGCCAGCAGCCGCGGUAAUACGGAGGGUGCGAGCGUUAAUCGGAAUUACUGGGCGUAAAGCGCGCGUAGGCGGUCUGAUAAGCCGGUUGUGAAAGCCCCGGGCUCAACCUGGGAACGGCAUCCGGAACUGUCAGGCUAGAGUGCAGGAGAGGCAGGUAGAAUUCCCGGUGUAGCGGUGAAAUGCGUAGAGAUAGGGAGGAAUACCAGUGGCGAAGGCGGCCUCCUGGACUGACACUGACACUGAGGUGCGAAAGCGUGGGUAGCAAACAGGAUUAGAUACCCCAGUAGUC
rnacentral:rRNA from 1 species